rnacentral:misc_RNA from 1 species
AAGUCGUAACAAGGUUUCCGUUGGUGAACCAGCGGAAGGAUCAUUACAGAGAUCGUGCCCUUCGGGGUAGACCUCCCACCCUGUGUUAUUUACCUUUGUUGCUUUGGCGGGCUCGCCCGCCAGAGAAUUAUUCACCCUGUGUUUAGUGUUGUCCGAGUAAAUAUAUAAUAAGUUAAAACUUUCAACAACGGAUCUCUUGGUUCUG